rnacentral:rRNA from 1 species
GGAUCUCAGGCGUAGUCGAUGGACAACGGGUUGAUAUUCCCGUACCGGCGCUGACGCGCCCAUGCUGAACCUGGUUGUGCUAACCAUCUGAUCGGAUGUGUCUUUUCGGAGAUGUGUCUGGGAGGGUGGGAUCCCGGCUGGUAGUAGGCAA